UCUGCACCUCGGAUCUGCUAUGUACUGGAUAAUGUGCUGGACUUGCUCAAAACCUGUUACUUAUUUACUUUGCCUUGAGCCAGAAGAGUGAUUCCUUUUGCUAAUUCAUUUGUUUAGACAGUGAAGAUCCCUGAUUUAAUGAAACACAUGUUCCUAUGGAAAAAGAGAGACAACAAACAAGUAAACAAGCCUCUUCUGCGAUCGCUGUCCCCAUGUCCCAGGCCUGGCUCUGUGACUUCCCAGCAGCAGGCCUCCAGCCACAGAAGCGCCGCCACACACCGGCUCCUCCAGAACAGAAGCCCCAGCCCACAGCAGGCUCAGAGCGUGUGGUUUCGCAGCCACAGGGAAGAGGGGAUGGGAGAGGUUGGUGUGAGCAUCUUCUCAUCUUCAGCACUCCAAGCGGAACUGCAGGUGAUGACUUCAGUGCGCCGCUUCUCCUUUAAGAAAAUAAUGAAAUUGUCCAGAAUCGUUCCCUGUCUUAUUUGGCCUAAAUAAUGGAUUUUCUUUCUUUGUUUAGCUCUCUGGUACAUCUAAAAUCAGAUGUACUGCUUUAUGUAAUUGUUUCUUGUUACUACUUUAUUUGAAGGUCACUUAAGGCUUGUGGCUCACUAUUUGUGAAUUUUAUCUACUUUUCAAUCAUUACAAGAGCAUAAAUACCUACGUACUUGCGUCUCGAGUUACAAAAAAAGUGGGGGGGUGGGGGGAGCCCAGCUCACAUGGGUUAGGUGCUCUGAAGAGCAAAACUGCAGUGACCCAUCACUGUUUUAUGGAUACGCUUUGCCUCAGCCCCCACCGGGCCACCAUGCAAUUCCAGGCCCUCACUCACCACAGGAAUAUUUUCCUGGAAGGCAGAGUCAACCCAGAGAAAACCAUUCUUUCCAUGUGGUGAUGGCUUCUCCCCAGAGGCCUGGCCUCAGCAAGGGGUGUGGAGAGGCAUGUUUCCACUUCACCCAAAGGGGCCCUGGUCUGCCACACAUGCAACUUGCCAAACCCAGGGGGUAUGUCCCUCCCUCUACCUCAGCUGAGAGCUC
rnacentral:lncRNA from 1 species